rnacentral:rRNA from 1 species
UACGGGGGGAGCAAGCGUUGUUCGGAUUUACUGGGCGUAAAGGGCGCGUAGGCGGUCAGCACAGGUCAGUUGUGAAAUCUCCGGGCUUAACUCGGAAAGGUCAACUGAUACUGUGCGACUAGAGUGCGGAAGGGGCAACUGGAAUUCUCGGUGUAGCGGUGAAAUGCGUAGAUAUCGGGAGGAACACCUGCGGCGAAGGCGGGUUGCUGGGCCGACACUGACGCUGAUGCGCGAAAGCCAGGGGAGCGAACGGG